UAUCUGUUCUUGCAAAUCUUUGU
rnacentral:snRNA from 1 species